rnacentral:rRNA from 1 species
UCCGUAGGCGGGCUAAUAAGUCAGGGGUGAAAUCCCACAGCUUAACUGUGGAACUGCCUUUGAUACUGUUAGUCUUGAGUUAUAUGGAAGUAGAUAGAAUGUGUAGUGUAGCGGUGAAAUGCGUAGAUAUUACACAGAAUACCGAUUGCGAAGGCAGUCUACUACGUAUAUACUGACGCUAAUGGACGAAAGCGUGGGGAGCGAACAGGAUUAGAUACCCUGGUAGUCC